GGAGUAAAGACCAAAUCUUUUAGUUCUUUUGGCUCUCUCACUCUGCCUUAUCACAGUCUACAGAGAGUCUCCACCAAGAAGGCCCUCUCCUGAUGUGCCCCCUGGACCUUGGACUUCCCAUCCUCCAAAACUUGAUGCUAUCUAUACGUGUGCACAUGCGCACACACACAGAGGAGGAGAGCUGCAGACAACAGGAAGACAAUCCCAAAGAGGACUUAUUUUCAAAGGCCUGGGGAUCACCUCUGCAUGGAGAAAGUCUUUGUGUUUUGUACAUGAAGGAGGGGAGUGUUUCUUAUGGGGUCAUUAGUUCUGGGAUACUAGGAAAGCGGUCGGGCUUCUGGGUUCCACGUGGGGCAGGGUCCAACUUGCACAACCUGUGGACUGCCUACAGAGGCCAGACGUCUACUGCCUUGGCUGCCUUC